rnacentral:rRNA from 1 species
AUGAACGCUAGCGUACAGGCUUAACACAUGCAAGUCAGGGGCAGCAUGGGAGUGCUGCAACUCUGAUGGCGACCGGCGCACGGGUGAGUAACGCGUAUCCGACUUCCCCCAGGUAGGGAACAGCCCGGCGAAAGUCGGAUUAAUGCCCUAUAGUCUGCGAAUUGCGCAUGUGUUUGCAGUAAAGAUUGAUCGCCUUGGGAUGGGGAUGCGUCUGAUUAGCUUGUCGGCGGGGUAACGGCCCACCGAGGCAACGAUCAGUAGGGGUUCUGAGAGGAAGGUCCCCCCACACUGGUACUGAGACGCGGACCAGACUCCUACGGGAGGCAGCAGUGAGGAAUAUUGGUCAAUGGGCGUGAGCCUGAACCAGCCAAGUAGCGUGCAGGACGAACCGGCCCUAUGGGUUGUAAACUGCUUUUAUGCGGGGAUAACGUGCGCCACGUGCUGGUGUAUUGCAGGUACCGCAUGAAUAAGGACCGGCUAAUUCCGUGCCAGCAGCGGC